rnacentral:rRNA from 1 species
GACAGAGGGUGCAAACGUUGUUCGGAAUUACUGGGCGUAAAGCGCGUGUAGGCGGCUAAGUAAGUCGGGCGUGAAAUCCCCACGGCUCAACCGUGGAAGUGCACUCGAAACUGCGUGGCUUGAGUACUGGAGAGGUUGGUGGAAUUCUCGGUGUAGAGGUGAAAUUCGUAGAUAUCGAGAGGAACACCGGUGGCGAAGGCGGCCAACUGGACAGAUACUGACGCUGAGACACGAAAGCGUGGGGAGCAAACAGG